UACGUAGGUGGCAAGCGUUGUCCGGAAUUACUGGGUGUAAAGCGCGUGUAGGCGGCAGACCAAGUCGGCGGUGAAAGCGCCCGGCUCAACUGGGCGAGGUCCGUGGAAACUGGUCAGCUGGAGGACGGUAGAGGCGAGUGGAAUUCCCGGUGUAGUGGUGAAAUGCGUAGAGAUCGGGAGGAACACCUGUGGCGAAGGCGGCUCGCUGGGCCGGUC
rnacentral:rRNA from 1 species